GGGCUUGUAGCUCAGUGGACUAGAGCACGUGGCUACGGACCACGGUGUCGGGGGUUCGAAUCCUCCCAAGCCCG
rnacentral:tRNA from 2 species